rnacentral:sRNA from 2 species
UUUACAAAGGGUCUGUAAUCUGGCAAAAUAUCUAAUCGCGUAGGUCUGUAAUAUCAGACCCAUUCUUAAAAAAGGAUGUCCAAGCGUG